ensembl:lncRNA LINC01122 long intergenic non-protein coding RNA 1122
GAGCCGCCGCGGGCUCCGAGGAGUCGGCCGAGCUGCUCCCGCGCCCUGGCCGGACGUUUGAAACUAUUGCUUUGCUGAAAACAUCUGACUGCCAGGCUAGGAUGUGACACUUAAGGGACUUACCAAUUUGGGAUUCUUCCAGGAGCUGAAAACUGAUUGCAAAUAUGAAACAGAUUUCACUACAGGACUUGAACCCUACAUUAAAAAACAACAAGCUCCCCAAAAUAAUUGAAAAAGAUCUUCACCAAAGAGUAGCUGCAAUGUGAAUGGCAGGAUAUGAAGCAAGUAAGAGAUGGUGAAAAGAUUAUCUUAAGCUUGGAAUUAAGUGAUGAAAGGGACCUUCGAAAUUAUCAACUCUAAAUACUUCUUUACAGGAAAAUUGAAAGCAGUUAAGAACCUGCCCCCUACCGUGGAGUUCUUGGUGCCGUGAGUUGGAGUUCUUGGUGCCUGGGUGCGUCCCCAAGGCCACUGGUCUUCAGAUCUUUCUUACUUGAGAAGAACGCCUCCGCCUCCUGGCUCUCCCACCAGUGGUAUUGCCACCACCACACACCAGCAUAAAGCACAGAUUGCUGCCCAGCUCCUUGGAGAGGGGCCAGUGCAUUUGUCAGGAAUUGAAAAGUUUUGGAGCCAGUUCGAGGACUUUCUCCUGCACAAAGUGUUGGCUGGAAGCAUGAUUAUCUCACACAGAGCGUUGGAAUUACUUCAUGAUGAUUUCAAAGAAAAUUUUCUUCUCUAAACACUCUUAUCCCAAGGGCAUCCUAAAGUUCCUCUGGAAUGCAUUGGGUGGGAGAGAAAGUUCUAUGUCAACUCUUCUGGCAGAGGGAAAAGCUGACCGAGGAAGUCAAAAUGAAAGAAAGAAGCAGACAGGACUGAGGCUCCCUGAGAUGCAGAAACUGAGGCACAGAGCAAGGGCGUACACUGAAGAGACUGGAAAGUGAAGAUGCACUAUUUGUCAAGAUGUGCCACAGCAGAAGCAAGUUGUGUUGGCAGUAGGAAACAAGAUAAAGAGAAGAACUCAAAGAAUUGAGAGAAGGCUUUGAACAUGAUGAUGGAGAAAUAACACUCUUGGGAGAAAUGAAGAUACUUUCUCCUCCCUGGUUUACCUGAGUUUCCAGCACCCAGUGAUAAGAAAGGAUGGCAUUAGUGAUGUGUACACCUGCAGUGAUAGCUUCACCUUUCUAAAGCAGAUGCCGUGGUAGACAUUUUGCCAGCCCUCCUUUCACUAUACACACAGCUUGGUGUACGCUGGCAGACUUUUGACCUAAUUUCUUAACCCUCAAAUAUUCCAAGACAGAACAAAGCACACAACAAAACCAGAAUGAGGCCGGGCAAAGUGGCUCAUGCCCGUAAUCCCAGCACUUUGGGAGGCUAAGGGGUGGGCAGAUCACUUGAGGUCAGGAGUUUGAGACCAGCCUAGGCAACAUGGUGAAACCCAGUCUCUACUGAAAAUACAAAAAUCAGCCGGGUGUGGUGGCAAAUGCCUGUAAUCCCAGCUACUGGGGAGGCUGAGACACAAGAAUCACUUGAACCCAGGAGGGGGAGUUUGCAGUGAGCCGAGAUUGUGCCACUGCAUGCCAGUCUGAACAACAGAGCAAGACUCUGUCACAAAAACAAACAAAAAACUGAAUGAAUGGAAGCAGAUAAGUGCAGAGAGAAACACUGAUUUACCUUCAGAAAGAUAAAAAAGUAGUAUAUUGAUAUACUUGUAUAUUGCUAUCUACUAGUAUAGCUUCAGUUGGUGUAUGAGUAUAGAACUAUUGGGUUGUUCUUUAUGUGAUUACUCCUUCCCAGUUUUAGUAAAGUAUUCCAAUUUGAGGGAAAUUCUUUCAUUUGUCAAUAAAAUAAAAAGAGGUAAGUUUUAAAA